CUUAUACUCCCUCCGUCCGAAAAUACUUGUCAUCAAAAUAGAUAAAAAGAGAUGUAUCUAGAACUAAAAUACGUCUAGAUACAUCCCCUUUUAUCCAUUUUGAUGACAAGUAUUUUCGGACGGAGGGAGUACUUG
rnacentral:pre_miRNA from 1 species